GUCCACGCCGUAAACGAUGAUAACUAGCUGUCCGGGCACUUGGUGCCUGGGUGGCUCAGCUAACGCAUUAAGUUAUCCGCCUGGGGAGUACGGUCGCAAGAUUAAAACUCAAAGGAAUUGACGGGGGCCGUGCACAAGCGGUGGAGCAUGUGGUUUAAUUUCGAAGCAACGCGCAGAACCUUACCAGCCUUUGUACAUCCCGCGCUAUCCUGAGAGAUCAGGGGUUCCCGUUCGGGACGGCGGUGACAGGUGCUGCAUGGCUGUCGU
rnacentral:rRNA from 1 species